GACGAGACCCUGGGGGCAGGGAUGGCGACAAGGACCUAGCCAAGAAGACGUGGUCGGGACGGAAACGAGACUGCAACUGGACCAGGCGCCCAGGGCGUGUCUGGGGAACGACGGAGACGCUCGGAAGGUUUGAAUUUCUUUUAAAACCAUCAUCACAUGUUGGGCUCGCUGGGACCCAGUGUUUGACCUCUGACACCGUCUCCAGCAGACUGUGAAAAUGACAAAGGCAAGAACACAAUCAAUACAUUACUAGAAACAGAAGUCAGUAAAGUUUUUACAGAGUUCAUAGGGUUUAAAGACGUCAAGCUUUGUGCAAUACCAGUCAUUAAAUCUGCUCCAGUUACAUUGAAGAAGUGUGGAAGAACAAAGAAUCCAAAGACCCUGCUGACGAGACUGAAGCUGACUAAUUUGCUCUGACAACUGACUUUCUCCCCAUCCCCUUCCUAAAUAUCCAAAGACUGUACUGGCCAGUGUCAUUUUAUUUUUUCCCUCCUGACAAAUAUUUUAGAAGCUAAUGUAGGACUGUAUAGGUAGAUUCAAACUGUAAGAUGUUGUUUUAGGGGCUAAAGGGGAGAAACUAAAAGUGUCUUACUCUUUUUCUAAAGUGUUGGUCUUUCUAAUGUAGCUAUUUUUCUUGUUGCAUCUUUUCUACUUCAGUACACUUGGUGUACUGGGUUAAUGGCUAGUACUGUAUUGGCUCUGUGAAAACAUAUUUGUGAAAAGAGUAUGUAGUGGCUUCUUUUGAACUGUUCGAUGCUGAAUAUCUGUUCACUUUUCAACCCCAAUUCUGUCCCAAUCUUACCAGAUGCUACUGGACUUGAAUGGUUAAUAAAACUGCACAGUGC